AUGCAGUGGGGGCGGAUAGCGAGAUGGUUUACAGGACUCAGAUCUGAGAGGGACGCAGUCAAAUGGUCUAACCAAGUUUUCUUCAAUCCUAUGUUCUACAUUCUGGUUUUGAUGCCUUGCUGCCUUCGACAUUAAGGUGGGAAGCUUGGCUGAUUCCACCUCCAGUCAGAAGAUUAAUACAUCUAUGGUUUUAUUUUCCAUGCCAACAGCUUGAUUGAUGAUUCCUAAUGCAUCUCAGAAAUAAUUGUUUCUGGAGGAAUGACCAUGCCACAGGUGAUUACCGCGCUAGGACCUGCCCUUGAUAAGAACCAGGGAAACCAUUUAAAAAGAAUGAUGAUUGUGUGAGCCUUUAAAUAUCGCCAACAC